rnacentral:rRNA from 1 species
UACGUAGGGGGCUAGCGUUGUCCGGAAUCAUUUGGGCGUAAAGAGCGUGUAGGCGGCCCGGUAAGUCCGCUGUAAAAGUCAAAGGCUCAACCUUUUGAAUGUCAGUGGAUACUGCCGGGCUAGAGUCCGGAAGAGGCGAGUGGAACUCCUGGUGUAGCGGUGGAAUGCGCAGAUAUCAGGAAGAACACCAACGGCGAAGGCAGCUCGCUAGGACGGUACUGACGCUGAGACGCGAAAAGCGUGGGGGAGCGAACAGG